UACGGGGGGGGCAAGCGUUGGUCGGAAUUACUGGGCGUAAAGGGCUCGUAGGCGGCCAACUAAGUCAGACGUGAAAUCCCUCGGCUUAACCGGGGAACUGCAUCUGAUACUGGAUGGCUCGAGUUUGGGAGAGGGAUGCGGAAUUCCAGGUGUAGCGGUGAAAUGCGUAGAUAUCGGGAGGAACACCGGUGGCGAAGGCGGUUCUCUGGGCCUUACCUGACGCUGAGGAGCGAAAGCGUGGGGAGCGAACAGG
rnacentral:rRNA from 1 species